rnacentral:rRNA from 1 species
GCGCCCCUGGCGCACCCAGAAACCCUUUGUGAACUUAUACCUUACUGUUGCCUCGGCGCAGGCCGUCCCCUACGGGGUCCCUUUUGUCUCAAAAGGAGCAGCCGGCCGGUGGCCAAAUCAACUCUGUUUUUACACUGUAACUCUGAGUACAAAACAUAAAUGAAUCAAAACUUUCAACAACGGAUCUCUUGGUUCUGGCAUCGAUGAAGAACGCAGCGAAAUGCGAUAAAUAAUGUGAAUUGCAGAAUUCAGUGAAUCAUCGAAUCUUUGAACGCACAUUGCGCCCUCUGGUAUUCCGGAGGGCAUGCCUGUUCGAGCGUCAUUUCAACCCUCAAGCCUGGCUUGGUGUUGGGGCACUGCUUUUUCCGAAGAGCAGGCCCUGAAAUAUAGUGGCGAGCUCGCCAGGACUCCGAGCGUAAUAGUUAAACCCUCGCUCUGGAAGGGCUGGCGGUGCCCUGCCGUUAAACCCCAACUUUUGAAAAUUUGACCUCGGAUCAGGUAGGAAUACCCGCUGAACUUAAGCAUAUCAAUAAGCGGAGGAAAAGAAACCAACAGGGAUUGCCCUAAUAACGGGAGUGAAGCGGCAACAGCUCAAAUUUGAAAUCUGGCCUCGGCCCGAGUUGUAAUUUGCAGAGGAUGCUUCUGGCGCGGUGCCUUCCGAGUUCCCUGGAACGGGACGCCACAGAGGGUGAGAGCCCCGUAUGGUCGGACACCAAGCCUGUGUGAAGCUCCUUCGACGAGUCGAGUAGUUUGGGAAUGCUGCUCUAAAUGGGAGGUAAAUCUCUUCUAAAGCUAAAUACCG